rnacentral:lncRNA from 1 species
UGUUGAUCAGAAUCGCCAGCAACAGUUUGCUUUCCUUUUUGGGGUGGAUGAGAAAACUCAAAACUCAAAGUUUCAAAGAACCAAAGGACUCUUCCUCUGGGCACCACAAACUUCCCCUUCCUCCACUGAGAAGACUGUCUCUCCCGCAGGACCCUGAAUUAUUGAAAUCGAAGGCUGACUUCCUUUCUGCAGUGAGCCCAGGGGCUAAUGUUAUUAUCCUGUCACACUUGCAACUAGUGACUUUUGUUUAGUGAUAGAAGAUUUGGGGAGGACCCAAAGGACUCAGAACUUUCUCUCCAUACCUCCUUUUACUCUUUUCUUUCUGUGUAAUGUAUCAACAACUGUUUAAUCUCCCUUCU